UGGUGGAGUGAUUUGUCUGGUUAAUUCCGUUAACGAACGAGACCUCGACCUGCUAACUAGUUGGUGAUACUUUCGGGUAACAUUUAACUUCUUAGAGGGACUAUCGGAGAUUUAGCCGGAGGAAGAUCGAGGCAAUAACA
rnacentral:rRNA from 1 species